CAUACACACAUAAUAAACUUAACUCACCAGAACAACAAUGCCGAUGGACAGCGACCCGCUCCUGAGACUACAGCCACAGCAGCAGUAGCUCACCACACACUUGUGUUCCGUCAUUCUGCAAGCAGCAAGAGCCCAAUGAGAAAUCUUGCAACCCCUCAGAAUCAUCUCGUGACCCCGAGUUUGGCUUCGUUUAAUCCGUGCCCCCUGUCCACCCAGCAGGGUAGUACCGGGUGUCAGACGGGGAAUGUGUCGGUUUCAGUCGGUCGAGGUUACUGGGUGGUGAUCGCGAGUCUAUCGCGUGGUUAGACCGUGGUGAAACACACACACACCACAUCGUUCUGUGAGGGAGCAGCAACAUGGACUGCACUCAACUAAUAUGAACAGACUGGGUCAGGAAGACCGAGCUUCUUGCAGCGUACUCAGUGACCUGCAAAAGUCUGGAGGAGAGGCGAAGGAAGCCGAAGCACCAAGGCAGCAAGGCGGGAAGUAGGGGGAGAGGGAGAGGGGCUAAAGGAGGAGCUCUACUGUCACCCUCAACCGCCUCGGGUUACAAAAGGAGUGCGUCUUACAAAUUCACAGACAAUAUCGCCCGUCAAUCAGUAGCACAGAGAACAACAGCACCGGCAACAACAACAACAGCAAAAGAACAAGCAAGAUCCACACAUCAACCGCAACAUCACCACCAGUCAUCUAUAAAGGACGUUGGCAGGAGCUGCAGUAGCAGAAAGCAGGAUUAUAGUUGAACCAUUGUUUUCCUCUCACUGCAAGUACCAAAGGAUCCCAUCAGUGGGAACAAUUCCACACGUCCUCUGCGUGUAUCAAAACACAUGAGAAAUUCAUCAAGACAAGGAGAGGGUUUUGCCGGCUGCCCAGGAUUGAACCCGCGACCAGUGUGACGGGAGAACCACUACUUUACCAUUCGGCCACGAGGUACCCCACUCGUUGAGUGGGUUAUGGGAGGCUCGCCCAUCAGGCCUAGUUGGCGCACUACACAGCUUUCCCCCCUAUGUAGAUUAAUUUCUGUGACAGUGACCUCUAUCGGUGCACUACUCCACAAUGUCCCUUUGAGACAUACCUCCAAUAUUCCCAUUUUCUAUGAACCUCGGAGAGCAUGGGCCAUCACUCUACCUAUUACCCACUCGGGGAGACUCAACAGAAUCACAGGAGAGGAUGCCCACCGCUAUGCCACCAGUUUAAUGCCGUAAUUUUCUCUUUACUAUACUCCAACACGACCACAGCAUGUAACGAAACGCACGAGAAAUUAAUUCAAACAAGGAAAGGUUUUGCCGGCGCCAGGGAUUGAACCCACGACCAGCGAGACGGGAGAGCCACUCCUUAAUCAGUCGGCCAAAGAGGUACCCCCCUGGCAGAGUGAGUUAUGGGAGGCUCGCCCAUUAGACUUAGUCGCCGCACUACACGGCUCCCCAUUCCUAUGUAGAUUAAUUUCUGUGUGUUGAGAUUUACCAUUUUCUAUGAACUUCGGAGAGCAUGGGCCAUUACUCUACCUGUUACCCACUCGGGGAAACACAACAGAAUCACAGGAGAGGAUGCCCACCACCUUGCCACCAGUUUAAUGCCGAGAUUUUUCUCUCUCAUCUACUACUCCCGGCCCCACACGUCCUCUGCAUGUAUCGAAACACACAAGAAAUUAAUCCAGACAAGGAAAGGUUUUGCCGGUGCCGGGGAUCGAACCCGCGACCAGCGAGACGGGAGAGCCACUCCUUAACCAGUCGGCAGAGUGAGUUAUGGGAGGCUCACCCAUCAGGCUUAGUCGCCACACUACACAUGGGGUGAGUAAGUGGAAGCUAUAGCAAAAUAGCACUAGUCACACCAUUCACACAAAUGCAUAUUUUUCUACAUAUAUGGAAAUUUGGUAGAAAUAAGUUGGAUACAUAUACUCAAAUCAGCAUAUGCCAAACAUGCAUAUAAUGGAACCCCUGGUUACUAAUGUCCUUAG